UGUGACGUCGUGGAUGUGACAAGUAAUUAUGCUUGCUAGCUACAACUUGAGACCCGUUUUUUAUUACAUUUUGAUGAAUUAGCAACGUUAAAAGUAUGCCGUAUUCGCCAUUAGUAGUUCAUGUUUGCGUCGUACUCGUGGAUUUACAGUAAACUAGCACUGGAUUACUUUGAUGCUGAAGAAACCGUAAAAACGUGAUGAUUCUCAAGCAAGUUCUGGGUCUUUCUAUUCAAGACUUGAUGGCUGUAUGUCAAUGAGUUGAACAGUGUGCAGACACAGGCUGGUUGGACUUGUUGAGCCAGCGGUUGAUCCGGUCCGACAUCCCUGAUUUGAAGCUCCUAAAUUCCUGUGAAUUUCCGACAGAGAUAUGAAAUGUACCUGUCUGGACACUCCCGGGCUAGUGGGGCUCGCUGCCUGCUGCUCCUUCUCAAAGAGGCCUCUCU